UGGGGAAUAUUGCACAAUGGGGGAAACCCUGAUGCAGCGACGCCGCGUGAACGAAGAAGGUAUUCGUAUCGUAAAGUUCUGUCCUAUGGGAAGAUAAUGACAGUACCAUAGAAGAAAGCUCCGGCUAAAUACGUGCCAGCAGCCGCGGUAAUACGUAUGGAGCGAGCGUUGUCCGGAAUUAUUGGGCGUAAAGGGUACGCAGGCGGUUUAAUAAGUCGAAUGUUAAAGAUCGGGGCUCAACCCCGCAAAGCAUUGGAAACUGAUAAACUUGAGUAGUGGAGAGGAAAGUGGAAUUCCUAGUGUAGUGGUGAAAUACGUAGAUAUUAGGAGGAAUACCAGUAGCGAAGGAGACUUUCUGGACACAAACUGACGCUGAGGUACGAAAGCGUGGGGAGCAAACAGG
rnacentral:rRNA from 1 species